GGUGGCAUAGUAUAGUGGUCAGUACGAGACGUUGUGGUAUCCUCAAAAUCGCUCCGUCUAGACCUGAGUUCGAUUCUCAGUGCCGCCA